AGCAUUGACACCUCCAUUGACAUCUAGAGCUGCAUUCAAAAUUCUGCUGGGUUUCUGCAGCUCUCACUCCUGGUUCUUUGCCUACAUACUGUAUGGGAUUUUUUGAAGAUUUGGCGUUACACCAAGGACUGCAUCAACAAAGCGGUGACCUGCAUGAAAGUGAAUGCAGACAAGAGAAGAAGAAAACCGCCUCAGUUCUCAUCUGGAGAUAAGCAGUCCUUAAUCGCUUCUCGACGGCUCCUUCUACUCCAACUCCGGUAUCUGAAGAUUCUGACGAGACAUUUGAGGUCAAAGACAUCCUGUACAUCAAGAAGCGUGGCAGGAAGACCUACUAUCUUGU